UUGGAAUCAGUGUUUUUAAACCCGUACACUAAAGAACAACCUUACCGGAUCGCUGGAUCACAGUGUUUUCAUUCGUUUAUCAUUCUCAAAUUAUAAACCAAAAUAACUAAUUUUAUUAAAAAUAAUGUACUAGUGUACAUGAUUAUUUAAAAUAUUAAACAAUAUAAUAUAAAAUAUUUUUUACAUAAUUAAUUAAAUACAUAUUUCCAAUAAUUUAAAUUUAAGUACACAUGCAAGUACCAAAUUUAGUAAUAUAUAAAUUACUGAUACAAAUGAUAUUAAAAUGUAAUCUAUUCUCUAAUCUAAAACUUCAGUUCAAAACUAAGAAAAUAAGUAUAUUAUAAGAAAAAUACGAUACAAAUGACAAUCAAUUAUAUGAAAAUGUUAGUUAAUUACAUUCACACUAUAUUUUUGAAACUAUAAUAAUAUAUAAUUAAUUAUAUGGUAAAUGCUAAAAAUAUCACUAAUUAUGAAAAUAGUAUUUACUUAAAAAAUAAAAAUAAACACCCGCUCGAGUGAGCGGAUCAAGCUCUAGUUUUUUUAUUUUAAAACUUAACUAAUUACUAACCUAGUUAAGAUUAAAAUGACGAGAUUAGAAAGUCUAAACUAGAAAUAAAUCUCUCUCACUCUCUUUGUUGACUCUGUUUCCCUCUUUUUUCAGAAAUGGAUUACAGAUAAAAAGAGGAGACAAGGACGAGAAAGUCACUUUGUUGUUUGCAACAAACAUUUUCACAAAAGCCUCCCACUCAGCCAUGAUGUCUAAAGGUGGGAGCAUUUCCUGCCAAUUUGAUGUCUGCAUUCUCCGAAGAUUAUGUGAAAAUUAAGGUGUCACUGGCAGGAAAUGCUCCAAAAUGCAGACAUUAAACAAACCAAAAAAAGCCGACAUAUCUACCCCUAAUUUUCACAUAACCUUUCCAUUUAGACCCAUGAAUUUCAAAUUCAUUAUACGAUCACAUCUAUUCACAAAAAUAUUUUCCAGUAAAGAGAUGAAAGAAAAUCUUAAUAAUAACUUACACGGUCGACAGUCAAUUACUAGAAACAAAGCAAUGAUUACAGACUUAUAGCCUCCAAAACUAUAAAUGGGGAAUUAUUCUUUCCUCUACUAGUUAUUUUUUUUUGUAAGAAUUAGGAAUAUUGCUUAUAGAUCAUGAGAGUUUCGGAGAAUUCAGAAUAUAACAAGAUCAUGAACAUGGUCCUCGAAGAAAGCAAUAGGACAAUGAAACAUUCAACAAGCCCGAUGAUUGUUUGGGAUUUGCAAAAUGAUAAUAUUCUCUUCAUAGAAUUAUAAAGUAUAUUUUAUUAAUUAUUGAAUAACUCAUUAGAAAGAUAACACAAAGAUUAUAGAGUAGAUCCCGGGAACUUUUUAGCACAUAUGGCUUUGAGGAUUAAUGUAUUCAAAGCUCUCGUAGGAUAGACAAUCAAGAGGCAUUCAGGAAGUGCUUUCACUGCUUGGCAACACUCUCUUGUUAGCAAUCUGGUAUCACUGCCAGACGCUAAUUUCACAGCCUCGAAACAUCCAGCCACUGUAUCUAAAGCCGUUUUCUUGGGACAUAAUAACGUCGUAUUCGGCUGAACAUUUUGGACUCCCAAUAUUUGGACGACCAAUGCUGAGAUUACAGCUAACAAGAAAAACAUGACAUUUAUUUGUUUAGGUUUCAUUAUUGACAAGAUUAAAAAAAAUAAUUGAUUUUGUAGGUUUGGAUUGUGUAAGAGCUGAAGAGACCUUUGAUUCGGGUAGAUAAAUAGCAGUGAAAUGAGUUCAAGUACUAGUCUUCGGUCAAACAAAAGAAAAGAUAAGUUUAGAAAGAUUGACUAUAAGAAACCAAAUAUUGGGAAAGUUUACUAGUUUGUUUGACCGACGUGCAAUUAAUUAUUUGAUGAAAUUGUAUACUCUGCUUUUUCCUUGUGGAAUACAAGGAAACAAUUGACUAUUAAGAUCAUUUCCUUCUUCAAUCCAUACUACUGAGUAGUCCUGGGCAUUCAUAUUUUGAGUUAAAAAGGUUGGGUUUUUCGGUUUUUGGUUUGUUCAGUUUCGAAUUAUCACACUGAGUUAACCGAAGUAAGCUUUGGUUUGGGUCGGUUUUCAAAUUCGGCUAUUUAUUUCGUUUGGUUAUUAUUGUUGAAAAAACAAAAAUCAAUCAGAUAUAAUCAGUUAUUUUUGGUUUGUUCGAUUAUUCCCAAUUUGUUCAAAUAAUUUCUAUUUUUCGGUUAUAAUUAGUCUUUUGGUUAUAUUUGGUUUGAUAAUGUUAAUACAAAUAUAAAAACUUCAGUGUACAUGAGCGAUUUAGAAAACAUCCAUAAUGUCAAUACAAAUAAACAAGGAAUGAAGAGGUUGUGAAAGAAAAAAAACAAACGCCAUCUCUCUUCUCCCGAAAAACAAACAUCACGUCUUUUUCUUAACACCAAAAAAAACAGCAUCUCUCUGUUUAUUCAGGACUUCCUUAGCUUCACUUCACAAACCCCAUCAUUUUAGUCAGUAAGAAUUAGAACUAGUGAAACAUCAUAUCCUUAUCUUCAAUAAUCAAUGACACAAAUUUGAGAACGAAAAUCCAAAAUAAACAACAUAACUACUCAUCACACAUAGAAAAAUAAAAUUUAAAACAUAGAAUGAAUGUAAGCACCCCAAACCAACAAAAUUCAGUACCUUUCACUAAGCCUCACUUGGUCCUGCCUGUGAAUUCCGAGAAUCUAUAAAAGAAACGAAAACAUCAUUAGUUAAGACUUUUAGAGUUUAACAUACCAUUCGACAUAAGAGAAUAGAGUUUGUUGGAAGACUUACCAAGUUACUCAAAAAAAGUUAACUUCUUUUAACAUUUGAGCCAAGUUCGCAACUGAUAGUUGAGACUAAUUUGAAGAUUGUAUCCAUUUUUGUGUGCAUAUUAAAGACUCGAUCAUAUAAGGAGUCAAAUAACUCCUAAAAGGAUCCAUAAUUCUUCCACAAGUGCUAAACGCCAAUUCAAAAGCAACUGAAGAAACUUGAACUAUGAGAACAUCUUUGGCAAGUUCAGACAAUAUAGUAAAUUUUCCAUUAUUCUGCUUUCACCAAGACAAAAAAAAACAUCUUAGUCUAAGCCCAAACUGUUUUCCUAUCUUGGCUCAGUUUUCUCUAUCAGAUAGAUUUGUCUAACUCACUGCCAUAUUCACUUCUCUUCUCGCUAACCAUCUUACUGUAAGGAUCAGAGAAUCAAUCCUCUCAUAACCAUCAUCAUCAUCUGAUCACAUCAACAGACUUCCUACAAUCUCCAUUAUCACUUGUGUCUUCUGCUGCAUCAAUAUGAUCUGGUUGUCUAAACCGGAUACUAUAUUCUUCAUACACUUUCUUCAACAUCUUUGUCACUGAAGCACAAAUAUUUCUACAUUUUAUAUUUCUACAAAGAAACAAACUCCAUCUUUUUCUUGAAACAAAAGCACUACCAACAAUCAUGAGUGGAUUUAUAUUCAUCAAACCAUCCCAAUAUUUCUCAAACUUUUCCCUCAUAAUAUGUGCUUGCUUCUUGAUUUCCAUAUUACAAUUGCUGCAUUUCGAUAUCAGAUUCAUCUCUAUUGUAACAAUUUAACAAAGGGAAGAAGUUAUCGACUUGGAAGCUGAAAACAUUAGAGUACAGUUGAAAAAGAUCUUUAGAAUUUUUUUUGUUUGGGUAAAAUCGGUUAUGCAAAAAUCAACAGUUAAAAUCCUCUAAAAAACUGUGUCUUAAGAAAAUAUGAGCCGAAGAAACUACACAGCAUAGGCGAAGCUCAUUUGAAUAAGGUUAAAGAGAAAACUCUGUAUAUUUCAUCCUGGACAAGAAAUAAAAGAACUCCUAUCAAAACAUGAGAUACUCGGAAAACGUUCUUUCCGAAGUUUUUUUUCGUGGAAUGACGAGUUUUAUGAAAUUAUCUUCCAUAAAACAAAAUUCGGAAAGAUUCUGUGGAAAAACUCUCGUAAAGAAAAUCUACGAGAUAAUCUUUCGCAGAAAUGAAAGUCAUGAGAAAUUUGUGUUAGCUUUAGAGAACAUAUGACAUUGGUGAUUAGACUCAUAAGUUUAGACUUAAAGUAUUUCACUUUGUUCUAUUUUCCAUUGUUAACGAAUUUCCUUACAAUCGUUUUGGUGUAAUUUUGUCUUGAUUUGUUUUUGUCACAAUGAAUAAAACCCCACUAUGGAACUUCAUCUCUUUUACUGUUUUUUUUUUCUCGUGUUUGUGUGGUUACAUAGAGAAUCCGGACCUUCAAAGAAAGCGACGCUUUCUUCUAUUGCAAAUGUCGAUUGUACUUUGGUUUCAAUACCUCUUCAAUAAAAUUUAUUUUGGUCAUUUAAACUCUUGGAAACUAUUUUGUAAUAAUUGUUUUUUAUAUAUAUCAUAUCUAUCCUAUACUAAAAGGAAGAUAUAGAGUGAUUUAAGCCUAUCCACGUAAGCAAAUAUAAUCAUCCAAUGAAAAAUCAAUUUCAUGCCAUGUCACCGAAUUGUUGCGUCCAAUUGAUUUGGACCCAAAUAUGUUGACCCAAUUCGACAAGCCCAUCUCUUGGUUCAAGAACGGAGAUAGAGAUUACCGACUCUUCACCUUCAUCGUCCUUAUUGUCUCUGCAACGCCAAAGACGUUCACGUUCCGACUCCAGUCAUUUCUCUCUUCAUGCAAACUCAAUCGCCCAAAUAUAGCUUCAACCACACCAAACGAUUACGACGAAAUCCGAAAACCCAGACGGCAAGGCUCCGCUGAGCCGGCGAAUCUCACCAGGCUGAGUUACGCUUCCUUUUAAAAGACAAUUGUUCAGCCUCAGGGAUGCUAUCGGAGCUGUGAUUGAAGAUCUGGGUUUGAAUGGUAAGCUUAAGGAUCAGAGAUUAGGGUAUUCAGCUAAACUAACAAUCUCCUACAAACGAUCACUUGGGCAGAGAAAGUGUUUCUCUUCAGAUGGAAACGUUGAAGAAGAACCCAAUAGCAUCUACUGUCUACUAUCUAUACGUUCCAUAUUGUUCCAGAUCUUCAACUCUAGCAAACCAUGUUCAAAUUUGGUCAUCAGUGGGUUAAUAGCGAAAGGAAGAUAUCCAAUAGUGUGUUAAUGCAAGUGGAAGCCAUUUACUUAUGGAUGCAUCAGGGAAGGUUGACUGUAACAGUGUUAUGGUCCGUCCAGGGGACCAAAAAUUUGAAAGCUUGAUGAGAAGUAUGGGGGAAACAUACUGAAACGAGGGGAAACAUACUGAAACAAGUUCAGCGGUUGGGUUAGGUUCAAUGUUCCUAUCUCUCAUUGCAUCACAUACAUGUAUAAAAAUAUUCUCUAGAUUACUUGGAAGAUAAAUUAUUUGGAUUACCACAUUACUUGUGUAGUCUGUUUUGUUUUGAGAACUUUAAAUUACCACAAACAUUUCGCUGGAUUUAUUUGUUUUGCGCAAACCUGUGAACAGCUGUGACUUCUUUUGAUGCCGUCAAGAUUCGACCCAUGUAGUUUAAAUCAGUUAUACGCAUUGAGAUAUAGAACCAUUUCAGUCGUUCAUGCUACCAGAGGACUCAGAGAUGCGAUUGAGAAUUUCAAUCAUUAUUCAGAAGUUGGAGCUGGUGCUGGACAGAGUUACCUACCUUUGUGAAGUCUAUGCGUCCAAACUGACAACAAACUGCAGAAGUUAGCUUAGUGAGAUAUUGUGGUCAAAAGUAUCUAGAAACAAAAUCACCAAUCACUAAGAAGCAACACUAGAUUCUGAAGGAAGAUGUUAGGGAUUACUCUCGAUGUAAAGAAAAACAUGAUAAUUGAGGUUAGUAGAUGAAACAAUUUGUACUCAUCACUAUUGUAUUCUUUAUGCGGGUUGAUAUCGUUAAUUUUGAAGUAUCUCAAGAAACGAACACACCAAAAAGGUCUUUUAUGUCUACUCUUUAUACAGUUUUUCUGUUUGUGGCUCAGAGAUAAUCAAAGCUAUGUAUCAUGAACAGAGAAGAGUUGAAGAUUUUCUGGAAGGUGGGGCGUUUUGGGUUUGAGUUUAUCUUACGUCUGAUGGUUUACUGUAUUCGAUCUUCAUGAUGUCUAAACUGAAGACAUGUGUCCUGCAAGCAUUACAAAGAGAGCGAAAACUUUAAAGCUAACGACACCAUGGCAGACACAAAACAGAGUUGGGACUGUAUCUGUACAACAGAGGCCUAAUUUAGCCAAAUAAAAUUAAAAGCAUGGAAUAUACUCUCAUUACUCCAAAUAUAAGCCAAAAAUAUAAAAAAACAUAUAGCAAGAUAAAAUAUACAUAAAACGGAAUCACAAAGAUAUAUAUAUAUUUUUUUUGAAACACUCACAAAGAUAUUAUAUCAAUCAUAAAUAUCCUGUUAGAUAAUUAUUGUGACAUACAAUAACUUACAUAUUCCAUAGAAAUUCAGUGUCGAAAAAAAAUGAAAAACGAAAAACUGGAGUUUGAACUAAUAUGUGAAAUCAUUUUUACCUUCCCCAAUACUACCAUUAGAUGAAUAUAUAAAAAUACACAACAAAGGAAAAAAAUUAAACCAAACUUAGAUAAUCAAAACAUUAAAGACAAAAAAUUAACAAACAAACAUACUUUUAGUCCAAAACAACGUACUUAAUUUAAAGAAAAUAAAGUACAUAAAUUUUUAAAUAAAUUUUAUCAUUUCAAUGUAACUAAAAACAAUUUUCAGUUACUUAAUAACCAAUUCAACUAAUACACUUCAAAAAUUAAACAUUAUUCAUAUUAGCGAAAUAUUUAUAAGUUAUAAAAAAUAAACAUCUCCGUUGAAGUAAACGUAAGAGGAACAUUUCGAGGAUGAUUGGUAGCUGCUCUAGGUUCUGUAGACAGCAACAAUACUUCACAGCCAUAAAAAUUUGCCAAUCAAACUUUACUUUAUCUUUUUUAAACCUACAGCUGAGUUUCAUUUCUUUAUUUAAUUUUGCUGUAGACGGCACUUUAUCGACAGUUUAGAAACGAAGCUUUAUAAAAUUUUAAAAGAUCUGGUGAGUUUUAUAACAUAUAAUUAAUGUUUAUUAAUUAGAUUUUCUUUUAAGAAAGCAAAGCAAAAACUUUACAUCCACGUCAAAAAUUAUACAGCUUAAAUUCUGAAGCAGAAAAAUAAAAGUUACAGCCUCAAACAAUUAAACCCGAAAGAAAAUCGUCUUCCUCUCCCAACAGUCCAUUCAUGUUCUGUAGUCUUCAAUAGCUCCCAUCAAGAUUAGAUGAGUGGUCCAAUUCGGUAAAAUACUCUCAGACGGGAGUUUUUGGCAAAUAAACAAAUAAAUAAUUAAUAUUUUAUAUUUUAAUACUCAAAAAAAAAUGUUCAUCGAAAUUUAAUAAACAUAUACGGAAAACCCGGGCGUAGCCCGGAAAAAAUCUCUAGUUUCUCUAAAAUAAACUCAAUCCCUAUCCACACACUAUUAAAAAACAUCGAUAGACCCGCAUCCACUCUUAGCAGCGGGUCAAACAGGAUGAGUGCUUCUGAUUAAAAUUCUCAGCUCUAGCUAUCAGCCAUAUUUUGAUAAAUCAAAGUUAAGAGUGGACACAAAUCUGAAAUGGCUCAAGUGAUGGGUAAAUAAUCUCUUACAAAUACGUUUAAUUUCUGAGGACCAAAGCCUGUUGAAAUUACAAUUGUACCAUUAAUGACUCUUUCCCUCCAGUCAGUGACAUGAUUUCUUCCACUAUAUUUCAAUUUGACAAUCAAUCUCUCCUCAAAUGUAACCCAUAAUUUUGAAGACAUGAUAUCCACUAUGGAUUCAAAGCUAUGGUCAGCCCAAACGUUUUGAAGGUCGUCAAUGGGAAGCAUAUUAAUCACAUUAUGGGUCUGAGCAUAUUCAUUAAUAAAAAAGGCCACAAUGUUUUGGCACUUGUAGAAAAACCUCUGGGUUUUCCACUUUAAUAGGACAAUCUUUAGUUUUUUUUCCAAAGAAGCAAAACCUAACGGAGCUUUGUCCAAUUGAAGAAAGAGCAACUGUCAACAGAAGAGGACCGACCACCGGCCACUAGAGCUCUGACGACCAUUGUACCAUCUCAUCGAGCAGGAUAUCUCGUCGUGUUUCGAUCUCUUUUUGUCAUUUUCUUGAGUAUUUUGCUCUUGUUCUUCUAGAUCCAUCCAUUGAUGAAGAUAAGAAAAUUCUAAACAUUUAUAUUCUCUCUUGCCUAUUUCUUCUUCUUCUAGAUCUCUGAUCUCAGAUUUGGGUGGAAACCAAUCCUUGUUCUUAUCGAUCUGGUUCACAGGGAGACACUUAAGGCAUACACGCCGAUGAAGGCAUCACCAACUUACGUGGGGAAAGAUGUCUCAGUUUAUUUAGUGCUCAGCUCGAACAUGAAGAGCAUCCAAGCAAUGAGAUGACUAAGUGAUAAUAAAGUUCACCACCACUUAAUAUAUUCAUAAGCAUUAAGUAUUUUGUAUAAUUUCAAAAUUAAAUAAUAAAAACAAUGAAAGCUGGUAGAAUACUUA